GGACGAACGCUGGCGGCGUGCUUAACACAUGCAAGUCGAGCGGUAAGGCCCUUUCGGGGUACACGAGCGGCGAACGGGUGAGUAACACGUGGGUGACCUGCCCUCAGCUCUGGGAUAAGCCUGGGAAACCGGGUCUAAUACUGGAUAUGACUCCAUGACGCAUGUUGUGGGGUGGAAAGCCUUGUGCGGCUGAGGAUGGGCCCGCGGCCUAUCAGCUUGUUGGUGGGGUGAUGGCCUACCAAGGCGACGACGGGUAGCCGGCCUGAGAGGGCGACCGGCCACACUGGGACUGAGACACGGCCCAGACUCCUACGGGAGGCAGCAGUGGGGAAUCUUGCGCAAUGGGCGAAAGCCUGACGCAGCGACGCCGCGUGAGGGAUGACGGCCU
rnacentral:rRNA from 1 species